UACAAUACCCCGUCGCGUAUU
rnacentral:siRNA from 1 species